rnacentral:rRNA from 1 species
AUACGUAGGGGGCGAGCGUUGUCCGGAAUGAUUGGGCGUAAAGGGCGCGUAGGCGGCGCGGUAAGUCUGGAGUGAAAGUCCUGCUUUCAAGGUGGGAAUUGCUUUGGAUACUGCCGCGCUUGAGUGCAGGAGAAGUUAUCGGAAUUCCCGGUGUAGCGGUGAAACGCGUAGAGAUCGGGAGGAACACCAGUGGCGAAGGCGGGUAACUGGACUGCAACUGACGCUGAGGCGCGAAAGUGUGGGGAGCAAACAGGAUUAGAUACCCUGGUAGUCCACACCGUAAACGAUGAAUGCUAGGUGUAAGAGGUAUCGACCCCUUUUGUGCCGGAGUCAACACAAUAAGCAUUCCGCCUGGGGGGUACGGCCGCAAGGUUGAAACUCAAAUGAAUUGACGGGG